CUCACAUUCCUCAAGCAGAUAACUGAUACCGUGCUUCCAGAAGAUUUUUCUAACAGUGUUUGCAAGCUAUAAAAUAGUGCUUUCACUUAGAAAAGGCUAGACGUGGUGGUUCAUGCCUGUAAUCCCAGCACUUUGAGAGGCCGAGGCACCAUGCUGGGAGAUAAGGAUCCAACAUAAGACAAACAGUGCUGAUGCUUUUGGAAAGCUCAUAUUCAAGCUGGGGAGACAAACAACAUACAAGAGGGCUCUGAGAGAUUUCAUUUCUGUCCUGCUGAUGAAGUCUACGUUCAUUCAGGGCCUGCUGUGGAAGACCAGCCCCAAAGGUGUGUUAUACUAAGUAGGCAGAUUCUAUCUCCAUCUAAUUCCUAAGUUAGGCUUUUCUUACUCCUAGAGUUCUGUAUAGCAUGGCCUUCUUAUUUCUUGUAACAUUGCUUUUGGGAAUAAAAUGUUUGAAGAAAGGAAUAUAAAGAAGAAAAAAUGCUGGGGAAUAUAUAAGGGAAAAAGAACAAAGGUUGAAAAACAGAAACAGAGAAAGGGAGGAAAGAUAAAUCUGACCACUUUAAAGUCAGUCAGUAUACCUACAGACAUUCAGUUGAGCAA
ensembl:lncRNA CCDC18-AS1 CCDC18 antisense RNA 1